GGGGUUGUAGCUCAGUGGUAGAGCACUUGCCUAGCAUGUAUGAGGACCUGGGUUCAAUUCUCAGCACCACA
rnacentral:tRNA from 1 species